rfam:Flavobacteriaceae bacterium TMED48 214, whole genome shotgun sequence.
UAUAUUUGCAGCUCGUAAAAAAUUUACAUAAAAAUCAUUAAAAUUAAUAUUGGCAUG